ensembl:lncRNA
CUGAUAGUGAUUCAUUGUAUGUUUUUCUACCCAAGUAUGUUUUUAUUUCAUUGGCAGUGUUUUUGGGAUCAUUAUCAUGAAAAAUGAAGCCACUGCUGAUGAGACUCUUUCUGUAUAGCGGUCAAGAAUAUAUAGUAUUCUGUCCUUCCACUGAGCCCAUUUCUGAUGAGCCUUUGGUGAGCAGUAGAUGGAUCAUCUGCAGGUCCUGCGUCAGGUUUUUGCUUGAUGUUUUUAUCCUGUUUCUUAACAGCAUGACUUUCAGAUGUUGUUUAUCUGUCGUAGAUGUGUUUUAGAGCUAUCAGCCAACAGUUUUUAGGCUGACAGCUUUGGGAGAGCACCUUGUUGGUGCAAAAAUACUAUUUUAUGCCUGUCAAACUGUGUUAUGUUUGCAUAUUUUGUACACACAGCCAUUAAUAGACAAUAGUUUUUCUUUUUUUUUUCCCAGGAGAGAUUUAAAAAAUAUUUUUGAAAGUCUUCAAUCUGAAUAUCACCAGAGUCUCAGAUGAAAUAAAAUAUUUUGGAUUUUGCAGAUCCAGCAGUAAUCUGCCCACUGAGAUGAUUAACCUUGAUUGCCCUUUAAAGAAGCACACAAAAUCUAAAAGCCUUGAAAAAUGCUUUUCACACUAUGAGUUUUACUUUCGGAUGUAUUUCAUGCAGUGUAUUGAGGUUCACGUUUUUGUUUUAGUUUCACAAUGAUUGGGUUAAAAACUGCAAUGGCUGUCAUGUCUGGGCCUCUGCUGCCACCGUGUGUAGAGAGAAAAUACCUGCACCCUGAAAAGUAAUUAACACAUGCAUCCCCAGGCUUUUACCUUUCUACCUAUAAAACCCGGAGAGCAGCCAAAUGGCUGGUAGGCUUUUAGCUAAGCUUUAGCUUCAGCCAAGUGGAAGCUAAAUUGGCUAGUCAUUCAUAUGUAUAUUAGGUUGUUACCUGGGAAUUGUGGAGGGAGGGGAGUGGGGGUGUGUGAUUGAGGGGGUGGGGGAGCUGCUAAAAGCUGUGCACUUCUGUUAUAUUUCCACUGUAGUGUCAAUACACUAUUAAGGAUUAUGCCGAGUCAGACUGCACAUACAACAGUUUGUUUACAAGUUGACUUCUUCUUUAUUGGGAUCACACAGAAGUAACACACACACAUAACUGGGCGUGGUGCCCCCUACUGGCGAUGGCUUGCAUAGCACACAAUAAUUCUUGGUUCAUACAUAACAUCUCCUCCCCACUAAGCUAUGCGACCGUGGCACCACCCGCAGAAACAUUUCCCAUAACCAAAGUAGCACCUUUUUUCUUUUUUUUUUUUAUAUUACAACAUUCAUGAAAACUGGAACUAAUGUUGCUUUCUGUAUGAAUUUCUUUUUAGUUGAGAAUAAUGUCUCUGAACGCCAACACUCUCACUGAACUACUUAAUACGCUCACCCAUCACAAUAACGAGCGGGUGGCUUGGUGACUCUCACUGGGUAACGUCUUACAGGCUCUGUAACCUGUGUACAGUCAGUCGGUGAUGAUUUAAGAGACUGGGGUGUAUCUGGAGGUACGGUGGUCCCCAUAACUUGUUCAACAGUCUCUUCCUGCAGAGUUGUACAAGGGUAAAGCAUGGUGUCACUACCACUCUGGGCUGGUGACAUCUGAGAGCUUGUCGGAGGAUCCACUGUGACCUGCUGAGAUACUGACUCAGGUCGUGUCAGCAUCUGAUCCACAUGACGUUUCCACACCCCUUGGGCUCCCACAUUCACCUUGUAUG